rnacentral:rRNA from 1 species
GACGUAGGUGGCGAACGUUAUCCGGAAUUAUUGGGCGUAAAGGGUGCGUAGGUGGCUUGAAAAGUUAUCAGUGGCAAAUCGAGGCUUAACCUCGCGGAAACUGGUAAUACAGUUUGGCUCGAGUGCAGGAGAGGUUAACGGAACUCUAUGUGGAGCGGUAAAAUGCACAGAUAUAUAGAAGAACACCAAUAACGGCGAAGGCAGUUAACUAUUCUGUUACUGACACUGAGGCACGAAAGCGUGGGGAGCAAAACGG